AAGGAGCAGGGCCCACAGAGAACCUGCCCCAGACAUCCCACAGUUUCUCUGCAGGAUCCUCAAUACCCAGUGUCAGAUCAUAUGUGUGAGGGGAAUGACCUUGGUUCUCUUCCAAGGGCAGAGACAGAAUGACAGGAAGAGACAAAUGUCAGUCCCCACCUGGUGGUGGAGGUGAGAGCAGAGUCUAGAAAUCUCCAGGAAUCUAGGUCUUCCUGGAGAAGAAACUAGGUUGAAAACUCACUGGGCGCAGAACCCACCCUGCCUCUCUCUACAAUUCAUGUCAUGAAUUUUACGCACAUCCCAUUUUAUUCCAAAGGGAUUUUAAGGCUGCCUGCAAAGACGCAUAUAGCACAGAAAACAUAUAGUAUUGCUUUACAUAACAAAAGUGAGAAAAGGAGAGAUGACAGCAUAAAAUAAUUUGAACCAAGGUUCACAGGCAGAGCUCUGGCUAAGAAGUCAUACACUUGCCAGGGCUGCGUCACACAAAGGGACAGGAAAACACGAUCAGGUGCAAGACCACGUGCCCACGAAGGGAGAACUGGUCCUCAGUUAGAUCACAGCCAUUCCAGAUACUGAUGCCAGAUGGUAAUUUAUCCCAUUGGUUCUCACACAGAUGACCCUGCCUUAGGCAACGAGCAAUAUCCUGAGAGUAAACAUAAUGGAACUAGAAUGAUUUGGCAGCGCCGGCACAUGGAGGACACUCAGAGUCUCUAGCAGCUCGUCACCAGAUCACUUCUGCAGCCACAUCCCCUAAAAGCCCAUAACUUCCUUUAAGGACUAAUCCUUACAGGGUUUUGACCUGAACGUGAGCACGUGGAUUUACGUCAGCCGUUUUCUGCCUUUUCUGAUGGUUUUUCCUGAAGAAGUUUAAAGACCAGGAAACAGAGCAUUUGAGCUUUAACAAGCUGAUGGAUAUGGAAUAACUGACUUGAAGUACAGGACAUUCUCGAUCUGUAAAGCAGUAAAGAGAGCAGUCUCUGGAGCGAGUUGCCUGGAUCUGAAUUCGUCCUCCUGUAGUUACUACUAACCGGACAACCUCAGACAAGCUACCUAACUUCUGUAUCCCUCCAUCUCCUCAUCUCUAAAGUGGAGAUAAAAACGGGUGAUGCCGACAGACCGAAGAAGAAAACCCUCCUUCUCUGGGGCUCGCUGAGCUGCUUUUCCACCUGGAGAAGUAAUCAACAACCUCCAGCAAUGGCUCACAGACUGAACAAACGGAGGAUGGGUGGAGAAAAAAAAAGAGAGAAGAAUAGCUCCCUCUGAUCCAGCCCAUCGUGGGAGAGUGUGGUAUUUCUAAUCCUGCAGACACUGGGAAAGAGAGCUCUGGUCAACCCCAUUUUUUAAGGGGCAACUAAGACUCAAGAGAGUCUAACCAAUCUCCAACAGGCAUCUAGGGGGUAAUCAGGAGCAUAAAUGGGACCCAAGCCUGCCUGACUGCACAUUCCGUACACUUUCCAUAACACCACGUUAUUUCUAAGUGGAAAAAAAUAUCCCAUAGGCUCUUAUUCCUCAGCAAACACUCUAUGCAAAGGUCACGAAGAAGUAAAGCCACCGGCAGGUGUAACUUCCGACUCUACCAUUCCAGCAUCUGAACACCUGAAAAUCACUUAAUCUCUUUAAAUGUCAGUUUUCUUAUCUGAGGAAAAAAUGGGUAUAAGCAUCUUUAUUGAUGAUUACACAGGGGUAAAAUGAGAUAAUGGAGCAAAGAGCCUGGCACGAUACAGAAGUUCAUUACAUGUGUGUACUUCCUUUCUUGGCUCCAGAAGAAAAUGAUUUUUUUUUUUUUUUUUUUUUACCGUAAGGUGCCUGUGGCAGAAAAGUGAAAUUUUAAUUUAAAGAGGAUAAUUAAUAACAAUGAAACUGAAGCUAUUGCAUAGGCUAAUUAUUCAUGUGGUACUCAAAUGCAAAAACACAAUGGCAACUGAGAAAAGAAAGGAAAAAUAAAAUUAGUAAAUGUUACAUCUCACCCACACAGUAUCCUAACAAGUUUCUUGCAGUCAAGACAAUGAAAAAAGUGAAUUAUGAGGUACCUUAAAAGGAACUGGACAGGUUUUUACAAUCAACACAACAACCUUAAAGGAGGAAAUCCUUUUAAAUUAAAUAUUAAGUCAUUACACAGCUAUAGAACUCAGCAAUAUCAAGCUUCCCACAUAUUUGAUGGGACAGAUAAAACAGCUUUAACAUUAUAUAGUUCACUCUUCUAUUCAUCUUCAAGACUUUGCAGCAUCUUACCUCUUCCUAUCAAGGAUAAAGCCUACUCUUCUCAAAUAUUUUCACUUCAAUUUAUGUUGGCCAGAAAAGCAUCUGUACGUUCUCUGUGUGCUUAACACCCACGUCCACAUCAUUCACAGGUACGGAAACACAGAGACAUUUAGUUCAAGUGUUUCUGAAGCAGAAGGUGGCAAUUAUGUUGAUCCUCUGAUUCUCGGACUAUAAUCACUUGCUUGAAAAACCCCCACCCCCAGGAGAUGCAUUAUCACUGAAAGCAAAUUAUGGCGUCGUCUGUUCAUUCUUCUGGAAAUCUCUUCCAUGUCUAUCCCUAGAUAUAAAUAUAGAUAUAUAUUCUGACAAUAUAUAAAGGUCAAAGGAAUCUCCCCAACACUGAGAGUGAAAUCAAGGGAGCUAAAUCUGUGAUGGUGUUUGUCUACAAGACUCCACAGUUUCUUGCCCUCACUUUGCUGUUUCCAUGUGUAGAAAAACAAUUCACAGACCCCUGCUAUGGAAUAAAUAUGAAUAUAUUUAUUGAGCUCAAAACCUCCGCCUUCUGCUUGAGACAUGUGAUACAUCAGUGUUCCUGGUGGCAGCAGGAGCAUUUAAUAUAUCAGUGCGGAUAGAAUACCUUCAGUAUUAGCAUCAGCAAAAACACUGCAGUUGUCCCUUGGUAUCUGAGGGGGACUCGUUCCAGGAACCCCACCUGCGGAUACCAAAAUCCAUGGAUGCUCAAGUCCCUUAUAUAAAAUGGUGCAGAUUUUGCAUAUAAUCUACAGACACCCUUCUAUAUGCUUUAAAUCAUCUCUAGAUUACUUAUAAUACCUAAUAUAAUGUAAAUGCUAUGUAAAGAGUUGUAAAUACAACGUGAAUGCUAUGUAAAUAGUUGCUGGCAUGCAGCAAAUUCAAGCUUUGCUUUCUGGAACUUUCUGGAAUUUUUUUCCAAGUAUUUUUGAUCUGCAGUUGUUUGAAUCCAUGAAUGCAGUGGAUACAGAGGGCUAACUGUGUUUCAUAUUAUGCUAUUACCCUAAUAAAGGGAUAGAGAGUCCCCAGAGGAAACCAUGGACUCUCCCAUUGAAGUACAGUUGUAAAAAAUCCCCUGUCACACUGGAAGAAACAGAUAUUUUCUUCAAGAACUUCCCAGAAACUUUAUAGGAUGGUGUUAUCAGUCUCAAAACGUAAAGAAUUCUAAUCUAACAGACAUUUUGAUGAACAAGCCGUCAAGCAUUUAUCAGCUGCUGCUUCCUGCUGUACUUUGCACUAGAGAUCAUGAGGUAGGUAAGCAGUGAAUGCUCCUGUGGUGGGAUCCUAGAAUCAGCCACUCAGAGGGAGUUCAGAGCCUCUUAGCACAGGGGAGAAAACUGAAGGAACAAAGCAAAACUAUCAAUAAUACCAUUUGGGGAAUCUGUGGCAGAGGCUAAAUGAGAAGCCUCUGUGGCAGAAGCCCAGGGCUUCUGACUGCCUAACCACAAGCAAAGUGUUAUCCAGCCACUCUUUGUCUCCAAGCUUAAAAACAAUUUCAAAAUGAACACCCAUAUGUGUAUAAAAAGUGAUAUCACCCCAUUCCAGCACGCCUGCAUUUAUUCCUAAACUAGGAGUGGUCUGAGUCAUGAGAAGUUACAGAAGUAGCCAGCCUCAUGAAUUCUGAUAAAGCCUUUCACGUGCAGGGGCAUGGUGAAUUCAUUCAGCAUUCAGCUGUGAGUCUUCCAGACUCUGUGAUUAGGUUUUGAUGCUUAAACUCCUAAGCACGGCCUGAAAAUGGAAACCCUUCUACAGCCUGGCGUCUCUUACCUUUCUUGAUUCAACUGAGCCCUGUGCCUUGCAAAGUGCAUGGUCCAGUCACACCAGAUCAAUUUCAUCCCUUCAACAUGCCAGGUAUGUUUAUGAUUCUGUCAUUUGCACAACACAUGCUCCUGGAGGUCCCCAAAUGAACUUCUUUCCCUUUUCCACGGGGCAAAUUAUGUCCCAGUCUUUAAAAUCCAUCUCUUUUCUCCAGCUUUCUCUGCCUGACUCAUCAAGUGGAAUUAACUGAUCAAUCUCCUGGAAACCCUUCUUUCCUUUGUAUAAUUCUCAACUCACAUUGCAUUAUGAUUAUCAAUUCAGUUCUUAGGUUUUAUUUAUUGAUAUUUUUAAGUUACCAGAUAAUGCAUACUCAGUGUCAAAAUUUGGAGAAAUAAAAUGUGUAAAUGAGAAAAUAAACAUUUCCUUCCACUAGUUUCCCCUAUUUUUAAACACAAUUGAGAUCUUUCUUCUACUGCACCUGACCUCACAACUGCUAAACAUUCUUCGGGAACCCUCUUUUAACAGUAGUGUAAUUGCCUGUCAGGAUGGACAACAAAUUAUAUAACCAUUCAACCUCCUACUGUUGAGCUAUUCAGUAGUUUUAAUUUUUUCUUAUUAUAAGGAACAAUGCAGCAAACUUAAUUGUGCAUGAAUCUCUGUCCAUAUACCUGUGUAUUCUCUUAGGAGGGAUGCUUACAAGUAAAACUGCUGGGACAAAAGAGAUGAUAUUUUAGAGCUCUAUGUACGUAUUGCAGAUUAUUCCCCAGAAAAUAUGUUUUAAUUAACACACCCACCAGUAGGGUGGAAAUGGCCAUUACACUCCUCUGUCCCGUCAUGGUAGCAACUGCUCCACCCAUAUAUUUUUGUAAAAGGUGUAAAUGCAUAGUUGCUUCAAUUUCUCUUUCUUUGAAUAGCAACACAGUUGAAUUUUUCAUAUGUGUGUGUGUGUACAGUCAUACAUACAAUUCUGGGAACUGUAUGAUUAGGUCUUUCCCCUCUUUUCCAUUGGGGUGAUGGUAUUUUUUUCUUAUCCACUUGCAAGAGCUCUUUAUUCAAAUAUUAAAAUACUUCUUUAGAUCAUAUUAGUUUUGAGUAUGUCCCAGAUUUGCUCUUUAGUCCUAAUUUUGCUUAUGAUUUUUUAAAAAAUAUAUUUAUUUAUUUAUUAUUUAUUUUUGGCUGUGUUGGGUCUUCAUUGCCGCACGCGGGCUUUCUCUAGUUGUGGCGAUCAGGGGCUACUCUUCGUUGCCGUGCGCGGGCUUCUCAUUGCAGUGGCUUCUCUUGUUGCGGAGCACGGGCUCUAGGCGCACAGGCUUCAGUAGUUGUGGCACGCGGGCUCGGUAGUUGUGGCUUGCGGGCUCUAGAGCGCAGGCUCAGUAGCUGUGGCGCACGGGCUUAGUUGCUCUGCGGCAUGUGGGAUCUUCCCGGACCAGGGCUCGAACCUGUGUCCCCUGCAUUGGCAGGCGGAUUCUUAACCACUGUGCCACCAGGGAAGUCGGCUUAUGAUAUUUUUGAUGUACAAAAGUUGGCAGUUUAAUUUGUCCAUUCUUUACUUUGUGAUUUUUUUUUUUUCCUUUAUGGUUGUUUCUUCACAUGCCUGGCUCCCGGAUGUACCAUGACCUCCAUUAGGACAGGUGUCCUACUUUAUUCAUCUUUGUAUCUCCAGCACUUUAUGGAAUGGCAGAGCCCGGGAUAUAAUCAUUCCUCCAUAAAUCCUUGCCGGAUAGAAUGGUCUGUGAGCUUCUCUAAAAAGAACUGUGGUCUGAAGGAAAACACUGUCUCAUCCUUUACAGAAAUCAGAAAGGUGAACACCUUGCGUAAAUGAAGGCAUGCAGCUAGCGCUGGGAGACUGGGCAUCUAUACUGUAGACCAGUGGUUCUCAAACUUUAUAAAUCAUCAGAAGCACCCGAUGACUUCUUCAAACCACUCCAAGUGUUUCUGACUCAGAAAGUCACUGGAUGGACCACCUAAAUGCAUUUCUAACACAACCCCAGGUGAUAUGGAUGCUGCUGGUCCAGUGAGCACAUUUUGAAAGUCAAGUCCUAGACUCAUCUCUGUUGGUUCUGGGAUAUUAGAAUGUUUAUUCCCCCUUUCUGAGUAUCCAUGUGCCUCUGUCAAGAAAGCUGUUAAGAAGUAAAGAAUGGGGCAGUAGGUGUGGACGCUUUCUGAAAAUGGACAAGAGCUAACCCAGCACUUAAACUUUACAGAGCUUCCCCAUCACCUGGAGACUUGUUAUAAAUGGAGCUUCUCAGAACCCACCCCCCAUCUGGCUGCACAAGGCUGGGUUUAGGGUCCUAGAAGCUUCCUUUGAAACAGGGUCCCCAGGAACAUGGAAGCAGACGGUGUGCAGACCACCUCCUAUGAAACCCUUGGAAAACAAAGACAAAUCCCAGAGCUUGUAAGGAAAUAGGUCCUAAGACCCUUUGCUCUGAAGGCCAGGGUUUGGCCUAGAGAUUGGACAUCCCACAGAACUGUAUGCUCUUAGAUGUUCCAUAACAGAGAGUAAGAGGGAGUGCAUCUAAUUUGGGUGUGUGUGUGAAAACAUCUAAGUCAAAUAUUCGACUUUAGGAUCUUCAGAGUGAAUUUUAAACGAGAAAAAAAAAAUGAUAUCAUUUGAGAGGAAAGGAAGCUCUAGACCAGCAUACCCCAGAAUCUUUCAGUUGAGAGCAGGCUUCAGAGUCAGGUGUGAAUUGGAAAUGUCCCAGAAGAUAGGUACGGGGUAGUCAGAGCUACUACAUUUUGCACCUGACACAGGAUUGCUCGCUCCAGUAAUGACAGCAGCACAGCCUGAGCAAUUUCAGUGUCUUAAUCUCUUUCCCUUUCUUUCAGAAUCCAGGGAAUUUAGUCUAAUUCUUCAUGCCUUCCCACAGGAAUUAUCAAGUGUCAGCUACCAUAGAGACUCUACAAGUCGCUUUGUAUAAAAAAUGUUUGCAGCGAUUCAGAGGACUGUGUAAUUGAGUUAACAAGUUGCAGGAAAUGCAUUUACAUCCUGGACUGGAACCGACGACCUGUCCAUGAGAAGAAAAAGAGUUGAAAUAGAAGAUGAUCAAACAAAAGUUGCAGUCACUUAACCAGACAACUAAUACAGGUCACUGUUUGAGACAAGGGGUUUCAUUUUUAAGAAGGAGUUCAUGGGAGGCCGAAGGCUAAAACCCACCUUGGAUGCUGUACCUGUUCACUAUUUAUUUCUGAGACCCAAAGACUUUUAGGAAUCCAGUAACCCACUCAUAGACAGGUAGCCCACACUGCAAGGUCUGAAGCUUCUGUCAACGUUAGCUCACUCAUACUUCUAGAAGCCACGAUUAUCUCUGGAGCUCAGCUGUUCUUCCUGAGGGAGGCAGUUUUCCAUUGGAACCUUCUUAUUCUACAAAAGAGGAAACAAAUCCAGACAAGGGAAGUGAGUUCCCUCUUGUCCCACGGUGAGUUGAUUAACAAAUUAGGGAUGAGGAAAUGGAUGGAUCAAGGGGAAUACAGAUGAAAAUGCUCAAAGAAUAUGAGAGCAGACAAAGAAAUACUAAGCACAGAGACCCUGUGGACUUCAUCUCUUUGAACAAGACUUUGCCAGAAACCUGGGUCCUUAUUAAUAUGCAUCAGAGGGCUUUCCUGGUGGCACAGUGGUUGGGGGUCCGCCUGCCGAUGCGGGGGAUACGGGUUCGUGCCCCGGUCCGGGAGGAUCCCACAUGCCGCGGAGCGGCUGGGCCCGUGAGCCAUGGCCGCUGGGCCUGCUCAUCCGGAGACUGUGCUCCGCGGCGGCAGAGGCCACAGCAGUGAGAGGCCCGCGUAACGCAAAAAAAUAAAAAAAAAUAUGCAUCAAAGCAGCUGCAAUGUGACUCUCUUCUCCCACCUUUGCUGCAGAAGUAGAGAGUGCCCACUGAAGGACAAAGACUGGGUUUACAUGUCUUCUCUCAACAUCCCCUAGAAACACAUUUUGAACCCUGGGUGCCAAAUAAAUGUUCUUCUGUGACACUGUUGAUGGCAUCUUCCCUUCACCCAUGCCAGGGCUGGAGAGGAGCCAAAAUAUCAAGAGAGAACAUGGAUCAUGGAAUCACAACUUCUUUUCUGCCUAACACAUCUUUUAAAAUAGUUAAGUCAUAUGAGCACAUGACAGAAAACAAUAUUUGGUGUCAUCUAUAAAUCAUCCCAGGUGGGGAGAAAGCCAGGAAUCCGGCAAUUUGGGAUGCAUUAGAAGAGUCACAGGAAAAGCUUUCUGGUUCUUUCAUGUCCUGAGUUCAAAUCCUUUGCAACUGUCUAUCAAUGUGAUAUUGGGGUUUAUUUGGGAAGAUGCAAAGAGAUAAUCUCUGGAAGGCUCAGUAGCAGGCACUCAGUAAGCGCUUGGCAAAAUAUCCAUUCCCAUUCCUUAUCGACAAUCAGUAGCAAGUCUCAUGAACCUAUUCUGGAAGCCUCUUAAGUCUGUCUUGCUGUAACAGAGCAGUGAAGAACAUAAAAUCUCUCUGUUCAAAUCCCAGAUUGUCCACUUACCAGGGACAUAACACUGGGGAAAAUUGUUUAACUACCCUGAGUCUUGGUUUCCAUGUUUUAUAAAUGGGGAUAAUUAUAGCUUCCACCUCAUUAAGGUUGUAGUGAGGACGGAUUGAGAUAAUUUAUGGAAAGUGCUGAGCACUGUGUGUGCACAUAGUAAAUGCUCAGUACACAUCAGUGACUGUAAUAAUGGUGCCCUCUAGUCCCGGCUUCCUGUCCGUUUCCCUGUUUAGAGUCUCUGCCCCUUUGUCAGUUCUUCUCAAUGCUGGUCCAGAAACCAUUUAAUAAAGCAUGGAACACAUCACUCCCCUGCUCUAAACUCGCAAAGGCUCCCUAGAACCUGGGGAAUGAAGUCCAAAGCCCCAAAUUGGACAUGCAACAUACUUCACAGAGAGUCCCAGACUCACCACCCUGCAUGCCUCCUCUUCCCACUGUCACCAGCAGGCAAAACAAAGCUGUGCAUUUACAUCCUGGCGGUUUUGUCUGCGCGGCUCCUUCUCCAGAAUGCUGAGGUGUGCUGGUCAGAGGCAACAUGCCAAGUGAUUCGUGGAAGAAGAUUUGAGAGCCAGACCAUUUUAGAGCUGGAAAGAACCCCAAAGGCCACCUUACAGAUGAGGAAACUGAGGUUAAUUGGCUUGCCCAAGGCCACACAGCUAUUUAUCAGAACGCCAGGGUUUCACUAGGCUGGUCUGCCUAGAAGGAGGAAACCACAGAACAGCCUAUUAGGGAAAAUCUGUCAGCAAUUGGCUGCAAACUUGCUGACAGGUUGUCUUUCUCCAUUCAUGAGAAAUGAGACAGAAGUUAAGCACCCAAUAAGAGAAGAACAUGAGGCAUGCCUCUGUGUAAGUGAAAACCGGGUCCCUCUCUGGCUUGCAAUGCGGGGCACGGCAGGAGGGGGUUCAUGGGGAGAGAGCAGCUGAAAUGAUUCCGCAGGAUCCGUCCCUCACUUCAAAGACAUAUCCUCUCAGGCUGCAUUAGUCUCCUGACUAAUGCUCCCAAACGCACUGUGGAGGUUUGCUGAAGUUGAAGAUUCUCUGUAAGGUUUGCAGGAGGAACAGUGAUGAAUAAAACACAAGAUCGCCAAUGCAUUACUUUGAAGGCGAGUGUGCCCAGUUCUAACUGCUAAAUUGCAAUUUUUACUCUACGAUAAUAAUACUAAUAGUGAUGCUUCAUUUAUAUAGUGCUUCUUAAGUUCCCAAGAAUAAUAAUAAAAAUGAAAACUACACCUUAUACUACAGCUGUGCCUAUAUAUGAAGUAUAUAGUAGAGUGAGACAGUUCAAGAGCAAGCUCCCUUUGCUAUUGGGAUAUUUUAGGGCAAAGUGUUGUGAACUGGAGUUGUUUGCAUAAAGUACGCUGGAUUUUCAAUUUGGAUUUGGAAUUUAAACACAGUUUUGCUGCUAUGGUCAAUGAAAUAUUUUAUAAAACCUUUAAAUAUGUUGUUAAAUAUUUAAAACCUUUAAAUAUGCAUGCUUUAAAAAGUUAGACAAUGGAAAGAUAACUAUUGAUGUAGCUGCCCAACCAGCCUCACGUAUGUUUAGUUGGUCAUUCUUGGUCUGUGAUCUGGAUUUGUGUCCACGGUGACCCGUCAGGGAGUACCACAUAGAAGCUGAAAUGCAUGGCUCCAAGACUUCUGUGCAGCUUGGUGACGACUGGGUCAGGUCUGGGCAAGGAGUGCCAUCAACCACAAAAUCAAAACCAUUCAAUGGUUUAACUCCCUGGCCCAGUAGACGGGCUAGCAAGUCUCAGAAGCUUUGAAACUCUGAGCUCCCCUGAAAGCUCCACUCUCUGGAAGGAUGAUGCUGAUUCCUUUCAGCAGUGGGUUAGGCUGUCCUGGGAUGAUAAGGGACCAGCUGCAGAGGAAGCUUUCCUCUGUCUUUCCUUGCUGCCCUAAUUUGCCCUAAUUGAAGCACUGACAACUUCCACCUGAUCAUCCAAUCCUUGGGCCAGCAAAGAGGCCAGGAUGCUGGGAGGGUGUGGGAGUUGUCCCCUCCAGAAGCUGGGAUGUGGUGAGGUCAUUUGCCCAUUCUUAUGGGGGCAUCCUUUGUGCUCGUAUCAAUGCCUAGAGAGCUCCUAUGUAUUCCAUCCUGCCUUCUUCAAGAUUUUGGCUCUGAAUUCAGAAUACUCCUUUCUAUCUGGCUGCCCUUAGAUUAGGAAUACAAUUUGGACUCUUGUCCCUGAAUUUGGCCUUAGUUUCCUCUGGAUAAUAUUUUUGGGAAUUUUGCAUUGGUUCCAGAGCCAGCAUCCAUGGGCCACUUUACCAUACAACCUGCCCUGUUCUUUCCAAGAGACCAUUUGCCAUUCAGAUGCCUAGCAGUUAUGCUGUCCACCAUAGCCGCCUAUGGAAAUCCCACUUCAUCUUCUGAGCUCCCGAGCCUAUCACUAGGCUUCUGCUCGGGUCCUGACAUCCUGCCCAAUUCUGGCUCAACCCAAAUUGGACCAUUCAAUGUUUAAUAAAGGCUUUCUCUGCUCUGUCCUCACACCUUAACAUCUAACUGUCUAUCAACAUUCUAUUAAGCAUUUGAGAGGAACUCAAAAGCCAGAUACCCCACUCAGUAUUGCAGGAGAUAAGUUUUCUUACAACAGUCUUGCAAGGAUAUGCAGGGAAAUGAAGCCUUUUUGGGCUUCUUAGUUCAAAGCAACAGAUACAGACACUGGGUAACACAGUGCUUGCAGGAAGACUAGAGAAGCAGGGUCUGAAAAUGGUCAGGAAUGUAGGAGCCUGGGCAGUCAGAACCACAGACCAGAUCCUGCCACAGAACCAGGUGGGUGAGGGCACUGUGGCUGUCCCCGCUGAACACGGGUAGCGGUAGCUUGCUCCACCACCCCGGUCACCCUUGGAAAUUGGAUGAUACAGCAGUCACUGCCGCAGUGACCAGAGGGAGUUCUUCAUGGCCAGUGAUUGUGUGUGCGUGUGUGCGCGCGUGUGUGCACAUGCUCACGUGCACAAGCGUUAAGUGUAAGAUACCGAAUGCAAAUUUAAAGCACACUGGGAAGUUGAAUCAGCGUUUUAGCUUCCAGGAGAGCUAGGGAAGCAACUCUAUGGCCCUUCAAGGCUGUGGAGUAGAAGGAGGGCUUUCUUUCUAUAGAGUCUUAUUGUGGGUUAGUCUCCAAACACAGGAGGGGGAUUUGGGUGCUAUGCAGUCAAACAAACACACAAACAAGCAAACAAAAUGGCAAUUAUGCAUUACAAGAAAUGAGUAACAUGAAGAAUAUUGCAUUCCAGGGUGUGGAAUCACUCAAAAGGAGUGUCUUCUGUAGUUUAACAAGAUUCUGUCCCUGCUUCUAUUCUGGUCUUUUUAAUUGUUGUGUUGUGUUUUGUUUCUAAUAAGAAAGGUAGGUGUCUGAGUAAACCAACCUAUUGCAUGGGGCUAGGAGGGGUGACAGAUAUUCUGGACAAUAGACUAAAGGUUUAAAUUUUAAAAACAUUUUGGAAGACUGGAUCAAUGGACCCAGACUAUAGAUAUGAAGUAUAACAGAGAUAAUAAUAACGGCAACCUCCUUCCAUGCACUCUUUAAACAGUUUUAUAUAUUAAUAUCAUUUAUUAUCAGAACCAUCCUAUAAGGUAGAUAUCAUUAACCCAGUGUUACAGUUGAGGACAUUGAGAAAUAGAUAUAGUGACUUGCACAGCUGGGAAGCGGCAAGCUUUGAAGCAAGGCAGCCUGACUCCCUAGCACCGCUGAAGGUGCCUUAUCAUGUCUUAUGUGCACAGGGACAGGUGGGGAAAUGUGACUUAACAGCAGCACAUAAGGAAAAACAAAUAAACAAAUAAACUGUGGAGCAUAAGUCCUCUGGGUGAUGUGGCUGGCAAUAAAAGCUAAUGUAAUGUAGCCUCGGGCUGCAAUAAAAGAAGUGUGUAGAAGGGAGUUGAUAGUCUAGAGUCUAGCUGCCUCUAGAUUUCUGUCUUCAGUCCUUCCCUCCGAGGAGGGCUGGAGCAAAAAUGAAUGGGGUGUUCAUUCUAGAGAUGUUAAGACCAGGGAGAAGGCAUCCUGGAAGACAACUUAGAUCCUGAAUAACCGCAGUGGGGAGGAAGAAUUGUAUCUAUUCUGCAUGACAUCAAAGGCGUGUACCAAAGAAUACAACCUCUGGGGAAACAGAGCCUGGCUCAGCCUAAGGAAGUAUUUCUCAAAGUGAAAGUUCCUCAUGUCUCAGUGGUUUGCAUCCAGGGGUAACGAGCUCCAUAUGACUAGUGAUGCUCCAGCCAUCACCAGCACAUGGUAGCCAGGAAUGGCAUAACGUGUGGGUCUGGGUGGCCUCUAGGGUCCCCUCCUACCGUGCAGGAGUGCAAUGCUGUUUUUCCUUCCCCAAACCAUCCCUGAUCACUGAACUGCAUGUGGCUUGUCCUUACUGUGGUCCUCUUUGUUUAUACUUCCUUUGCAGCACAGACAGUAUGAGGCCUUGAGAUUUUACAGACAGACCUAGUAUGUUCUGCACCAUUGAUAUUGUCAGCUCUCUGAGGGAAGGCCGUGUGAUUUGACCAUUUCAUUGUGCCCAGCCCAGGCCUUUCAAUAAAGUAUGGGACAAAGAAAUGAGUUUGAGAUGGAGUUCGAACCAAACCCUGCCAGAGGGCCCCGUGAAAGCUUAGGGGUGGCAAGGUGAGGAUGCCAUUCCUACUCUGUUAUCUCUGGAAACUUGGAAUGGAGGUAUUAGUGGUAGAUGUCUUUCAGAUAGGACAGAGCUGAAGGGUGAAGUCAAAUGGUACAUAUUGCAAAAUAUUAUCAAAUGGCACUGCAUUGGCUGACCAUGACUUCCGAAUGGUAGAUUCACGCAAAGCCCCGUAUAUAGAUGUUACAAUUUAACUGCCAAAUGAUGUUACAGGGUGAAUACAUAUAUACACAUAUAUAUAUACACAUACAUAUAUACAUAUAUACACACAUAUAUAUACUUGAACCGAUGAUAUGUUUAAAUAAGAAUCAGACCACAGGUACAUAGACUCUAAAAACAAAUAAAAAGGCUUCCGCGUUUAGACAGUGGUGAAAGAUCGGGUUAAGAGCCAAGACCCCCACUCCGCAGCUCUUGCUCCCCGGUGCUCCUAAAUCACCAAGUGACCUCAGGCAAGUCAUGGUUCUUCUCUGGGUCCCUGGACCCUCAUCUCUAAAAGAAGAUUGGCUGGAGUAGCUGAUAGUUCAGUUAAUGACUUCAAACAUCUGAUUCCUGAGAGUUCUACUUGGUAAAGUGGGAUGUCCAGUCCUCGUUACAGGAAGGAGGAGGUCCAGUCACCGUAUGGUGGUUAGACUGCAAUAGAGACUCUGAUGUAAGAGGUCACAUGUUAAUGGGGACAUUGACAAAAUGGAGUGGAAGUAGAUGGGAGAGAUGAGGAUGGUGAGAGGUCUGUAAACUGUAUCUCGCCAGAUUAGCUGAAGCACUGAAUGGCAGAGCACACUGACACAGGGGUUAAGUUUGGUGUCAGAUACCCGAGUUUGAAUCCCAGCUUUGCCAAUUACCAGCUGUGGAACACUGGGAAUGUCUGGGUUUUUUCCUCUGUAAGGUGCUAGCAAUAAUUUUACCAGCUCAUAGGGUCACUGUGGAUAAGUCUCAUAUUAUAGAAUGUUCUUAGCACAGUGCUCAAUAAAUACUUUUUAUUGGAUUUUAACUGUCAUUGGAUGCCAUUUUCAAAUAUUUGUAGGGCUGUCAGGAGAAGGAAAAAGUGAUGGGGAGCAGGGACAAAGUAACUGUUGGGAGGAAGUGACAGCAGAGGGGUAUUUUAGCUCCUCAGAUGAUGGGGCAUUUUAAUGAACAGAGUUAAUGAAUCACCUCUCAUGUCAUGGGUUUCCAGAGAGGUCGCUAGCAUGCUGUCAUCAGGACAUUUAAGCAGCUGCAGGAUUCGUGGCGAGCAGAAAACCUGCUGAGAGGGAGAGUUAGACCAUAAGAUCUCAGAGGCCCCUUUUAUGGUCAAGAUUUGGGACCCUGUAGGGGCAAAGGGUCAAGCCGUCAGCUCAGCUCUCUGUCCAGCUGCUCUUCUCCAGGAAGCGGAGGAGGCCCAGGGUUGCCACGCACGUCACACAUAGCGGAAAACUGCUGGGCACGUGGAGUCAGACAGGCUCGGACUCCCGGCUUUCCUGCCUUCAGCCUGGUGAGCUUGGACAAGUGUCUGGAAUCCUCCUGGGGCUCAUUUUCCCCACUUGUAAAAUGGAGCUGACAGUACCCUCCUCAUGGGGUGACUGCAUAGAAUUAAGGAGGUAGUGGGUGCAGCACCUUUCACAGAGUAGCAUCUCAUAGAGCCGGCUCUCUCCCCUGCCCUUUGCCCAGCAAACACAAGCAGAGCCUCCCUUUCAUUGCACCCUGCACUCAGGAGGGAAGGCAUAGGGCCUGGGGUAGGAACAGAUGACACAAGGAGGCCACAGAUGGGACACAGCAGGACAAUCUGGAAGAACCAGGAGCCUUGGAAAGCCCAGCCUGACUGCGAUACUGGGUGUGAAAACAGAGCACCGUCAACAGCUGCGUGGGGGUGAGGGUUCCUGCUAUUUUUAACGUGAUGCCAAAUCCCUGGGCUUUUGCUUGGGUCCGAGGAAGACCGCAGACAGGGCAAGAGCUUCUUCAAGCUGCAGUCUUCCCUCGAGUCAGACUGUCACUGCUCACCCUCCUGAAAACCCCAAACUACAUUUACCUGAAAAACAAACAGGCAUAUUCUGCAAAUGGCGACAAUUUAUCAAGAGACUAAUUAUCAUUUAAGCUAGUCUGGAAUAGUAAUGCGUCCCUUUUAAAGGGAAGCAAUCCUUGUGAGGAAUAUCUCAACAUCACAUGCUUAGCAAGCUUUCCCAGUAAGAUAUUACUUCAGGGCAACUUUUCCACAGCAACCCAUAUGUAAAAACAAGCGGGGAGGAAAUGCAAAGGUAGGAAGGAGGCAGGCACUUUUCAAAAGCGAUACUUAACUCUCAAAUCUCGACUGCCUCUUGAAUAUUUUAAAUGGAAGAGGGAUGGGUCACUUAAACUUAUGAAAUGAUUUUUUUUUUUAAAGGCAGGUACUAAUAAACAAUUCAUCACUAAUUCGGAGAGGCCUCAAGCCUAAGGGAAAGUUUAGUGAAGGAUUUUGGCGUAAAAAUCGUGAGGAAGAACUUCUACCUGCCACCAUUAGUCUAUAGAAGUGAAGCUCAGGUCUCUUUCUGAGAGGACGACAAGGCCCGAGCAGCCACUGCGUGCUUGUUGUGAACCAGGCAUUGCACCCAAUCCUUACGUUACCUUACAACAAUCCUAGGACAUGGGAAUUGUGAGGAGCUCCAUUUUCACAGAUGAGGUAGCUGAGUCUUAGAGAAGUAAGGUAGCUCAUUUUUGGUUAGUACUUUGUAAGCAGUGGAGCUGGAAUUGAGAAGAAUCAAACUGCUGGGCAGGGCUGGAACUAGGGUGAGUCAGGUGGAGCUCUGUCCUUGGGCACAGAAUAUAAGGGGAUGCCAAAAAACUCAGUAAUCAAGAUAAAUAAUAUUUUAAGGAAACAUUUAAAAAAAUCAAGAUCACUAGAAAAAAUCCACAAUGAGCAAAAUAUCAACAUUUUAAAUAAAGACAGGAUUGGGACUUCCCUGGCGGUCCAGUGGUUAAGACUCCACGCUUCCACUGCAGGGGGUGCGGGUUCGAUCCCUGGUAGGGGAACUAAGAUCCUGCAUGCCAUGUGGUGUGGCCAAUAAAUAAAUAAAUCCAGACAGGAUCUAACUCUGCACUUGUAUGUCUUAGCCUCACUCUCCUCACCCUGAUCUUGGCCCUGCCGCUCGGCAAUACUGCCUCUAAGUCUGAAUAGGUGGUCCAGGCCUGGGGGCUGAUGGUAAUAGGCCUGAGCGUUCAGGAUGUGAUCAUCGGUAACACAGACCCAGAGAUCAUGGUGGGGGUGAAUGUACCAUAAUUAGGGGAUAUGUCUACCCCUGCCUUCAUCCAUGCUUGUUCUUACUGAGAAUAAAACAGCAUCCAUGGCAGGGAUGCUGUUCUAAAUUCUCACUGUUUGAUCUCACUUGUGGAGCCUAACAAUGUCUGAAAAGAGGUCUCUGUGUGUCUUAAACUAAAUUCAGGUAGGGGCCCCCACUGCUAUGGCUGCUAUGUUAGGUGAUCAUCACGGUGGCCAUUUUCUUCAAGAAAAGUGAACGUGGAGAAGUAAUCUUAAUUUGUGAAAUCAUGCCAGUGCAGAGGACCGUGUCAGGAGGAUUUCCAGCAAAUAAGGAGGUUCGUGGAGUAAAUGAAGGUUUUUCUUCAACUGGAAUAACCAGAAAAAUUCGAGAAAAAGGCAGUGCUUAUUCACAACAUCCUCUGAUGAGUACUCAGUGCCAGACAGCAAUAGAAUAAGGCUCUGGCCACUGUUUACUGUGGCCUGUAAGGCUGUGUAUGCCAGCUCUCUGGAUUCAGCACCUCACAUGGUCUAAAUGAGUAGAAAGAGAGAGGAAAGGGGAGAGAGACACCAGUCCUCGGCCUGCCAUGAGAAACGGCAUCAUUAGUCUCUCCCACACUUUUUUUUCCCCCUUCUCUUUCUUCCUUUCCUCUCUUCUUCUCUCUCAGACUCCCAUCUCAUUUAACAUCCUGUGUACUAGGUUCUCUGCCUGAGCAGAAACCCUGACCACACAGACUCUGAGAACAAUGCUUUAUCUCUAUAAGCAUCUUGGAACUCUGUGACUGUCUGAAGGCUAAUUAAACCAAAUAACAGUGAAAUUUUCCCUCCAGUUCUAAUGAACGUGCAUUAUUCACGAGCACUUACAAUUUAAAAGUGCCUUCGUUUUAAAAGUUAAAUAAACUGUCCUGCGGUAAGUGAGCUUCGGUUUAGAAAACACUUUGUCUUACUUUUCCACUGAGUUACUUAAUACUCCCUCCCAUAAUCCAUUUGCAUUGAUCCCUCCUUCAUCAACUGCCCAUGCAUUCCAACACACUCAGAGCUGCAAAGAACUCCACUGCUGAUUCA